rnacentral:misc_RNA from 1 species
AACGCAUCUUGCGCUCCUUGGUAUUCCGAGGAGCAUGCCUGUUCGAGUGUCAUCAAAAGUUCUCAACCACACCGGCUCUUCUGGCGUGGCUUGGAUUUGGGGGUUUGCAGGCUUUGAACAGAAGUCGGCUCCCCUGAAAAGGAUUAGCAGUAUCUGAGCGGGAGACUACGUCGGGCGUGAUAAAUCAUCUAUGCCUCGGUGUACCCGAUGUGUGAGACUGCUUCUAACUGAGUGUUGACAAGUUUGACCUCGAAUCAGGUAGGACUACCCGCUGAACUUAA